rnacentral:rRNA from 1 species
UUCGCAAUGCCCGAAAGGGUGACGAAGCGACGCCGCGUGCGGGAAGAAGGCCUUCGGGUUGUAAACCGCUGUCGGGAGUUAAGAAAUGCAAGGGUGUUAACAGCAUCCUUGCUUGACUAAGGCUCCGGAGGAAGCCACGGCUAACUCUGUGCCAGCAGCCGCGGUAAUACAGAGGCGGCAAGCGUUGUUCGGAAUUAUUGGGCGUAAAGAGCACGUAGGCGGCUAUGUAAGUCGGUUGUGAAAGCCUUCCGCUCAACGGGAGAACAGCAUCCGAUACUGCAUGGCUUGAGUGCGGGAGGGGAGAGUGGAACUUCUGGUGGAGCGGUGAAAUGCGUAGAUAUCAGAAGGAACGCCGGCGGCGAAAGCGGCUCUCUGGCCCAUAACUGACGCUGAGUGUGCGAAAGCUAGGGGAGCAAACGGGAUUAGAUACCCCGGUAGUCCUAGCCGUAAACGAUGGGCACUAAGUAGAGGGGUUUU